AGAUGGUUAAAACAUGAUUUUCUAUUUAUUUUCACAAAGAGCAUUAUGCACAUUUGUUUAGAAUGAGUGGCAAAUUAGUAGAGGAAAAUAAUAAAUUAAGAGAGCAUACUUUAGGUCUUAAGGAAUCCUUAAAAUAUCUUAAGGAAAUCAACAAUUCCUUCAAAAUAGAAAUAAUUAAACUUCAAAAUUUUAAAGAAGAAUGUAAGCAGUGUGACUCCCUUACAAAAGAAGUAACUAG
rnacentral:lncRNA from 1 species